UGACUACGAGACCAAUAGCAAACAAGUGACUUAAGGGAAAGUUGAAGAAAACUUUGAAAAAAGAGUUUAAGAGAACGUAGAACCGUUCUGGGAUAAUUUUGAGAAAUCCAAAAAUUCGAAUGAAAAGAUUCAGCGUUAGUGGCUGUUGGCUUGCGUGUGAUCGCGAUGCUCGAACGUGCGGUGCUUUCGGGUAUUUAGCGCGUUCGGGGCACGCGGUCACUGCGUCAUGUCCGACGACGCCGGCGUGCACUUCUCUCCUAGUAGGACGUCGCGACCCGUUGGGUGUCGAUCGAUGGCCCGUACGGUAGACUGUUCUGCCAAACCGGCACGGCAGACCAUCGGUGUCCUUUACGUGAUCAACUGCCCGGCAGUAUUAGAACCUUUUAAUCAAGAUUGGUAUCAAGUCGCUAUUUCGAAUGCAUUGGGCUUGGUACUCGAUUGAGUCUCGCUCAGAUUUAACGAAUCUUGUAUAGUUGCCAUGCGUGCUUGGCUUUUUUAAACGCUAAUGUUCUCGAACCGGCUCGAAGAAGCCUAGCACUUUUCAAUUAAAAUUUCCAGUCAGCAACGCUUUUGCUUUGGGUACUUUCAGGACCCGUAUUGAAACAUAGACCAUGGAGUCUAACAUGUACGCGAGUCAUUGGGACUUGUAUUAUUUUAUACAAAUAUAACUAAGCCUAAAGGCGCAAUGAAAGUAAAAGUUUGCGAGCUUCGUGCUCCGCGACCUAGGGAGGAUGAUUCGCGUCACGUAUGCGGAUCCGCACUCCCGGGGCGUCUCGUGCUCAUUGCGAGCUGAGGCGCACCAAGAGCGUACACGUUGGGACCCGAAAGAUGGUGAACUAUGCCUGGUCAGGACAAAGUCAGGAAAAACCCUGAUGGAGGUCCCUAGCGAUUCUGACGUGCAAAUCGAUCGUCGGAACUGGGUAUAGGGGCGAAAGACUAAUCGAACCAUCUAGUAGCUGGUUCCCUUCGAAGUUUCCCUCAGGAUAGCUGGCACUCGUAAUUUCGAGUUUCAUCUGGUAAAGCGAAUGAUUAGAGGCCUUGGAGCCAAAACGACCUUAAUUGAUUUUUUAAUUUUAAAUGGGUUAGAUCUCUGGCUUGCCUAAAUAUUGAAGCCAUAAAAUUUAUAUACAAAAAAAAAAAUCAAAGCGCCAAGUGGGCCAAUUUUAGUAUGCAGAACUAGCGCUGUUAGAUGAAUCAAACGCUGAGUUAAGGCGCCAAAGUCGACGCUUAUGGGAUGCCAUAAAAGGCAUUGGUGGCUUAAGACAGCAGGAUGGUGGCCAUAAAGUCGGAAUCCGCUAAGAAGUGUGAAUCAACGUACCUGCCGAAGCAACUAGCAAAAAAAUGGAGGGCGCUGAAGCGUCUUGCCUAUACUCGGUCGCAGCGGCAAGUGGGGCGUUGUAAAAUCAAUUUUUCAACGUCAUGAAGCUGUGACGAGUAGGAGAGUCGCGGCGGUGUGCGCAGAAGAGUCUGGGCGUGAGCCUGCCUUGAGCUGCCGUCGGUGCAGAUCUUGGUGGUAGUGGCAAAUACUCCAGUGAGGCCCUGAAGGACUGACAUGGAGAAGGGUUUCGUGUCGACAGCCGUUGCACACGAGUCAGAUGAUCCUAAGCCCUAGGAGAAAUUCUAUGUCGAUAAUGGUGUAUAAAUUUAUUAUUUUUAAUAAUUGAAAGCACACAACCGUCUGGCGGAAGGGAAUUCGUUUCCUGUUCCGGAACCUGGCAGCGGAACCGCUUAAAAUUUGGGCUCUUGCAAAAGUGUUCGUCGAGGUAACCCUAAGUAACCUAGAGACACCAACGGGAGAUCCAGGAAGAGUUUUCUUUUCUGCAUUAGCGUUCGAGUUCCCUGGAAACCUCUAGCAGGGAGAUAGGGUUUGGAACGCGAAGAGCGCCACAGUGGCAGCGGCGUCUGGAUCUUUCCCGCGGACCUUGAAAAUCUAGAAGAGGGCCACGUGGAGCCGUAGAGCUUGGGCGAGGUUUAACUUUGCGGUGGUUUGCGCGCGUGCAUCUCGUUCGCGGUGUGCGCGUCAUAAAUUCGCCGUGGAGGGCGACCGAGCUCGGUACGGUGGUUUCGCUUCCCGCGGAUCUUCCUUGCUGCGAGACCUACAUGAAGAUUUCGACGUUGCGUUUGUUCUCUUCGGCCGCCAUGUAAUACUUAGCUCAGAACUGGCAUGGACCAGGGAAAUCCAACUGUCUAAUAAAAACAAAGCGUUGCGAUGGCCCUCGCGGGUGAUGAGGCAAUGUGAUUCCUGCCCAGUGCUCUGUAUGUCAACGGGAAGAAAUUUAAGCAAGCGCAGGUAAAUGGCUGGAGUAACUAUAACUCUCUUAAGACGCUUUAGUUCUCACGUCCACGUGGUGAGUGCCUGGCAACAGUUUUCAGUUUAUCUGGUAGCCGGAAAUCGGGAACACCGCUAGUUUGGGUUUCUAGCCCAAGUUGUUGUAUCAGUUGGUGCAAGCAGUUAUAACAGGCUUUGUAUGAACCCAGUUAAUCGGUCUACUGACCGAACUAUGCCAACGAGUAGUUAUGCUUACCUAACUGGUGAGAUAUCUGAUGAGGAGGAAUUUGCUUGUCGAUUCUAGGACUGUGAAAGAAGUUUCAAGACCUCUAGAGGUCAUGGACUACAUGAGAGAAGGGCGCGUAAGGAUUGGUGUGAUGGAAGGAACCUUAAUAAAGUAAGAGACAAUAUCAGGAAAG
rnacentral:rRNA from 1 species